GUUAAACCAGUAAACUAAAUUAUACAAAUUUGGUAAAAUACAGUUAGGUGAUUUAAUAGUUUAUGAUUUUUUAUAUAGAAGUAAAAUUCAUAUAGAUGUAAUAUACCUAAGAAACUAUAUUACUGAACCUGUGACACCUUUAAGGGAAACUGGGAUUGGAUACCCCAUUAUUUUUAGAUGUAAAUAAUUUCUUACCAGAGUACUACGAAUUUUGAUGAUUUAAAACUCAAAGGGCUUGGCGGUAUUUUAGACCUUUUAGGGGAACCUGUCCCGUAAUCGACAAUCCACGCUAGAUCUUACCUUUUUUAGUACUCAGCUUGUAUACCGUUGUCGUCAGGUAACUUUUAAGAAUAAAGUAGUUAGCUAUGAAAUUAAAUUAAUUUAGAUGUCAAAUCAAGGUGCAGCCGAUAAAAAGGAGAGGAUGGGUUACAAUUUUAUAAUUAUUAUACAGAUGGCUAAUUGAAAAUAACCUAAAGGAGGACUUAAAAGUAAAAAUCUAUAUAAAAAUAUAUUGAACACGGCUCUAAGAUGUGCACACAU
rnacentral:rRNA from 1 species